UUAGCGCAGGCACCCGCACGACCUUGCCUCCACCCACGGCGCGCCGCCACCUCCUACCCAGUGCCGCCGGCCAACUCCAUGCCGUUGAGCGCCGCCACCGCCUACCCUCCUCCCAUCGGGACCCCUUGAUCCAAAAAUCCAUCCAUCCAGUCCUCUCCUCGAUUUCCAAACAGAGCCUGGCGGCGGCCUCCCUGCGCGGCUGUGCCCCCCGUGCCUCUGCCUCACUAAGCGUCUGACCCGGCCGCCGUCCAUUGCCCGCACCAGCCCACCCCUCGCCUCCACUGCCGCUCCUCGCCCUUCUCUAUCGGACCUCGCCGCCUCUGACCUUUGGUCCUACGCCACCAUCUGGAUCUCUCUCCACACCUCGCCAGCAGUCUGCCAGACGCCCUCCUCGCCCAAGUGUGUUGGCCUCGCUGAUCCAACGGCUGCUCUUGCCCCUGUACUCACCGGUGUCGCGGCCUAAGUCGCCCGCCGAGCGCAACAAUGCAGCAAUCGCUGCCGUGAGCCUGCAAUCACUCCUUUUAGGCUUGCUGGUUGCCGUUCCAAUUGAUAUCGCCGCCACCUGAGACAACCCCUCAGCAUGCCAAUGCCCGCGGGCCACAGAUGCAGCGGCCUUGACAAGUCAGCCAUGACGCACAUCCGCGCGUUGCUUGAGCAUGAGGGUUGGGAAAGCAUCGAGCAGGCGGUUAUCCGGUAGGCGUCGUCGCAGAGCGUCGUGGACAUUUAGAGGAGGAGAUCCAUAUCAAACGCCUUACCAUGAGCAGACUGCCAAAAUUCUUCAUGGAGGCCUCCACUGACUGAAAGAGGUAUGCCAUCUCUAUGCUCUGCAUCACUAAACUGAAAUAUAUCUGCAGAUUUAGCAAAUGUUUGUCUCGAGGUCUGCCUGAGACCACGAGCCAUUAUAGUUCCAGAGCUUAAUUGUUUUUGCUCUGUGGAGAUUGCAAGAUAUUGACGCCUCAUACUUAGGAAGCAAGUUAAGACAGUCCUACACCAUUUUGCUUUGCACAGGCAGGUGGUUUUGAUAAUAUAGUUCAUGUGUGAGUUUCAUCCAAGGUUGGUCAAUUUUGCACUCAUUUUGGAUAUGAAGGUUAAUAACUGUAUACAUCAAGAAUCCUUAGGUUUGCACACCAUACUCCAUGCUGCUUUGUUAAGUCUCCCCCUCUCCAUGAACAUUGCCUUCUUUAUUUGUCAAUUUUCUCAUUAAUAUAUUUGUAUACCAUAAGGGAACAUAGAUGAGAAGUAUAGAAUGAGGUCAUGGUUGCACAUACCAUCUGUAGUUUUUCUUAUGUGGCUUAGAAACCGAGUAUAGCUCUGAACUGUAAGCUGGCUCAACACUGUAUCUUCCAAUGUUUCAGGGUGUCUUCAGUUUAAAGCUAAGCUAAGGCUAUUUUCCUAAAAUAAUUCAAGGCAAACCAAUGCCAAAGGUCAUGGGACCCCAUGGACCUAGGUCCACCUAAACAUAACUUAACCGGGAUAAGGCUCAGCUUAAAUAAUUUUAGAAAGUUUCACACUUGAUGUAAAAGAUUAUAGUUCAGUGUUCAAGUUGGACCAAGAUUUAAUAGUAGAGAUUGCUUGGAUUAAGUGGGGGUGAAGAUCUUCUUGUUAUCUAUAUCUGAAAUGAAAAACCUGAUGAAGAUCCUCCGGAGGUGUUUCACAUGUGCCUCUUCCUCCCUGAACAGGGCCAUCAAAUAAGUAGUCAAGGAAGCAAAAACAUUGAUACAUGGCACUCCUCCAGUGUGCAUGCCCAAUAUAAUGUCAAAAUGGUAGUAGCUUCUUAUUCUUCGGAAAGUAAAUGUAAACAUUUGUUGUAAGAUUUUAGUGAAGGUACGAUUUUUAUGUGAGAUAGUAGGUGUGUUAUAUUUACAAAACAAGGUUUUGUACUCCUAAUUCUAAUAUUUUGUGCCUCGCGUCUAAA